rnacentral:rRNA from 1 species
AUUGAACGCUGGCGGCAGGCUUAACACAUGCAAGUAGAGCGAGCGGCGGACGGGUGAGUAAUGUCUGGGAAACUGCCUGAUGGAGGGGGAUAACUACUGGAAACGGUAGCUAAUACGGCAUACCAACAGAAGUGCCCAGAUGGGACUAGAUAGUAGGUGGGGUAAUGGCUCACCAAGGAGCCGGUCCCUAGCUGGUCUGCGAGGAUGACCAGCGACACUGGAACUGCGACACGAUCCAUACUCCUACGUGAGUCAGCCGUGGGGAAUAUUGCACAAUGGGCGCAAGCCUGAUGCAGCCAUGCCGCGUGAGUGAAGAAGGCCGUCGGGUUGUAAAGCACUUUCAGCGAGGAGGCGUUACUCGCAGAAGAAGCACCGGCUAACUCCGUGCCAGCAGCCGCGGUAAUAC